GAUGAACGCUGGCGGCGUGCCUAAUACAUGCAAGUCGAGCGAACGGACGAGAAGCUUGCUUCUCUGAUGUUAGCGGCGGACGGGUGAGUAACACGUGGAUAACCUACCUAUAAGACUGGGAUAACUUCGGGAAACCGGAGCUAAUACCGGAUGAUAUUUUGAACCGCAUGGUUCAAAAGUGAAAGACGGUCUUGCUGUCACUUAUAGAUGGAUCCGCGCUGCAUUAGCUAGUUGGUAAGGUAACGGCUUACCAAGGCAACGAUGCAUAGCCGACCUGAGAGAGUGGUCGGCCACACGGGAGCUGAGACACGGUCCAGACUCCUACGGGAGGCAGCAGUAGGGAAUCUUCCGCAAUGGGCGAAAGCCUGACGGAGCAACGCCGCGUGAGUGAUGAAGGUCUUCGGAUCGUAAAACUCUGUUAUUAGGGAAGAACAUAUGUGUAAGUAACUGUGCACAUCUUGACGGUACCUAAUCAGAAAGCCACGGCUAACUACGUG
rnacentral:rRNA from 1 species